rnacentral:rRNA from 1 species
AUGCCUCAGAAGACACAUUUUCCUUUCUUCACUUUGUUGCUCUUUCAGAUUCAGAUAGAUCGACCGACCGGAGCCAUGCCUCUCCCCGCGAACCUUGUAAUGGGGUCCGCCUUCGUCGCGCUCGGCGUCACGCUCCUCGCCGGCUUCCUCUACGUCGCCGUCUGGUCCAAGGCCCUCGCGCCGUCCGACAACUGGUUCUUGCUCGCCGUUCAGAACGACAGGUAUUACUGCUUGCUUGUGCCCCUGACGGUUCCUGUCAUAAUCGUGGCUGUGUACCUGCAUUGGCUGAGCAUGAAGAUGUUCAAGCAUGCGUGA